rnacentral:rRNA from 1 species
AUUGAACGCUGGCGGCAGGCUUAACACAUGCAAGUCGAGCGGAGCGAGGGUGCUUGCACCUUAGCUUAGCGGCGGACGGGUGAGUAAUGCUUAGGAAUCUGCCUAUUAGUGGGGGACAACAUUCCGAAAGGGAUGCUAAUACCGCAUACGCCCUACGGGGGAAAGCAGGGGAUCUUCGGACCUUGCGCUAAUAGAUGAGCCUAAGUCGGAUUAGCUAGUUGGUGGGGUAAAGGCCUACCAAGGCGACGAUCUGUAGCGGGUCUGAGAGGAUGAUCCGCCACACUGGGACUGAGACACGGCCCAGACUCCUACGGGAGGCAGCAGUGGGGAAUAUUGGACAAUGGGGGGAACCCUGAUCCAGCCAUGCCGCGUGUGUGAAGAAGGCCCUUUUGGUUGUAAA